rnacentral:rRNA from 1 species
GACGAACCGUGCGAACGUUGUUCGGAAUCACUGGGCUUAAAGGGCGCGUAGGCGGGCAGGCGAGUCCGGGGUGAAAUCUUUCGGCUCAACCGGAAAAGGGCCUCGGAGACCGGCUGCCUCGAGGAAGGUAGGGGCAUGCGGAACUUCCGGUGGAGCGGUGAAAUGCGUUGAUAUCGGAAGGAACGCCGGUGGCGAAAGCGGCGUGCUGGACCUUUACUGACGCUGAGGCGCGAAAGCCAGGGGAGCGAACGGG